CCGUAGCUCAGCAGGAUAGAGCAACAGAUUCCUAAUCUGUAGGUCACGUGUUCGAAUCACGUCG
rnacentral:ncRNA from 13 species